AGGAAUUCUCCAACGAAUCGUCAAUUUUUCGACGAGGAUGACUUAUCGCGACGCUUCGCGGCUCGGCACGCCUCGUAUAGAACGCGUACUUUCUUGUCUAUCCUUAUCGAAUUCUUCCACGGUUACUUUACAGAACGUGCCUCGAUGGAAACGAUCCCCCCCCCCCCUCCCGACUCGAGCAUUCUUCUAUUUCGCACGAAUUUGGAAGACUUCGAACCGACAAGGUAGACCUAAUCGAACGAGACUAAAGGUAACUUACGGACGAAAUCUUAGGCACAUUUUGUACAGGAUGUAAGAUUGUUAUUAUGCGAGGAACGCGGAAUAAAAGGUGCACACGAUUCCCCGACCACUCUUUUCAUUAUCCAAAAUCGCUCUGUUUCCCGACGGCGACUAGUAUAACCGCUAGAGUACCUUGCGAUGGUUGUUUUCUCUCACAGGACUUUAGACACCUGACGUCUCGUUUUCAUUGUUUUGCAGAGCCGAUAAUCGCCGCGGGGGGAUCCAGAAACGGAUGCUUCAGGAAUAUGGAAGCGUUCACCUGUCACCAGUGCGGCAGAUCGUACCAAAUGAGGCACAAUCUGGUGAAACAUUUGAGAUUCGAGUGCGGCGGGCGCAAGCAUUUUGGCUGUAGUUUGUGCCCGGCGAGGUACACGCAGAAUGGGAAGCUAAGGCAGCACAUGCUGAACGCGCACAAUAUCUUCAUCCCGCCGCGAAAGACUUGGAUAAGGCCGACUUAUAGCACUUGAAUGGACCCCACCUAAAACCCUUCCCGUGCGAAGUCUUCGUAGAUGGAACAUUUUUGUGCAAAUAAGUUAGGUGUCGACGCUAGUUUAUCUUUUCUUACAGUAGAUAGAACCGGGCGUGGAUAUUUGUUUAUGUAACGUUUCUGACAAUAGAUGAGAGAGUAACAAUAAAUAGUUUUGGGAAAAUGAACGCUUGCGAGAAGCCACUAGUUUUAUCCAACGCGUUUCAUGCUUGUUUGUCGCGUGGUCGGGCCGAUUCGUUUGCGAUUUCUACGAGGAUCUCCUUACCAUUGAACUCUACCACAAAGAGGCGACAGCUUCCCAAGACUCAUCAUCGAAGAGCCUGUAUACGAGCGUUGGAGCUGCACACCGACUACUCGUUGGACAACCUGAAGUCAACGACGAAUGCGACAACCGAUGAAGAUUCUCUUCCACUUUACCUCUCGAGGAAUGAAGAUACUCUAAAAAUCAUCUGACUGUCACUUAUUCAUUUUUGCUGCUCCUUUUGUCCCUCUCCUCUUCGCAUAAUAAAUUAUUAUUUACAGCCCG